AGCCAGCUUCCACAGGGACCUCCUGCAGCUUUCAUUGAGAAGCUCCAGGCUGGCAGCAUCCAGAAUCUUGGAAACUGACUGUGGGAGGGAGACAGCAACAAUUACCAACUCCUUACAACACACCAUUCAAAAUCAGGAGAUCAGAACUCAAAGACCCAGAACAGUUGUGUAAUUUCACCAUAAAAACUGCAUCGAGCCAAGGGAGACUCCUCAGAUGGCACUUGGGGGUUUUUGUCCUGGUUGGUAACACAGGAAACCUGUUCACACACCUUUCAAAACUGCUCCCAACAAGAGCUUGCAACAGCACUUCCCCCAUGGGGCAGGACUCACCCUGUCGGCCGUGGCAUUGCUGAUGAUCAUCUCCUGGACACUGUUGUAGUAUUUUGGGGAACACAGCUUGCCAGGAGCCACGUUCACAGCCACCGAGAGAGCCAGGCUCCGCCCGUGCCUCACCAUCCAGUCAAUGCCAGAGACAUCUGCUGCAGA